GACGAACGCUGGCGGCGUGCUUAACACAUGCAAGUCGAGCGGGAAACUUCGGUUUCCAGCGGCGGACGGGUGAGUAACACGUGGGCAACCUGCCUCACAAUGAGGGAUAGCCCUCCGAAAGGAGGAUUAAUACCUCAUAACACAAGAGAAACGCAUGUUUCUCUUUCCAAAGAAUUUCGUUGUGAGAUGGGCCCGCGGCGCAUUAGCUUGUUGGUGAGGUAACGGCUCACCAAGGCUUCGAUGCGUAGCCGACCUGAGAGGGUGAUCGGCCACAUUGGAACUGAGACACGGUCCAGACUCCUACGGGAGGCAGCAGUGGGGAAUAUUGCACAAUGGAGGAAACUCUGAUGCAGCAACGCCGCGUGAGUGAUGAAGGUCUUCGGAUUGUAAAGCUCUGUCUUCUGGGACGAUAAUGACGGUACCAGAGGAGGAAGCCACGGCUAACUACGUGCCAGCAGCCGCGGUAA
rnacentral:rRNA from 1 species